rnacentral:rRNA from 1 species
GAUGAACGCUAGCGGCAGGCUUAACACAUGCAAGUCGAGGGGUAUUGGUUUUCGGACCAAGAGACCGGCGCACGGGUGCGUAACGCGUAUGCAAUCUACCUUUUGCAGAGGGAUAGCCCCAGAGAAAUUUGGAUUAAUACCUCAUAGUAUAGUACUUUGGCAUCAAGGAACUAUUAAAGUCACAACGGCAAAAGAUGAGCAUGCGUCCCAUUAGCUAGUUGGUAAGGUAACGGCUUACCAAGGCAACGAUGGGUAGGGGUCCUGAGAGGGAGAUCCCCCACACCGGUACUGAGACACGGACCAGACUCCUACGGGAGGCAGCAGUGAGGAAUAUUGGACAAUGGGCGCAAGCCUGAUCCAGCCAUGCCGCGUGCAGGAUGACGGUCCUAUGGAUUGUAAACUGCUUUUAUACAGGAAGAAACACUCCGACGUGUCGGAGCUUGACGGUACUGUAAGAAUAAGGAUCGGCUAACUCCGUGCCAGCAGCCGCGGUAAAG